rnacentral:rRNA from 1 species
AGGAAAAGAAACUAACAAGGAUUUCCUCAGUAGCGGCGAGCGAACAGGAAAGAGCCCAGCACCGAAUCCCGCGGUUCCGCCGCAGCGAGUUGUGGUGUUCGGGAGGAUCCGCUUAUCCCUUGGCGUCGCGCCGCGUCCAAGUCCAUCUUGAACGAGGCGAUUCAUCCGCAGAGGGUGCCAGACCCGUAGCGACCGAUGCGCGCCCCGGGAGGAUCUCUCCUUAGAGUCGGGUUGCUUGAGAGUGCAGCUCUAAGUGGGUGGUAAACUCCAUCUAAGGCUAAAUACAACCACGAGACCGAUAGCGAACAAGUACCGUGAGGGAAAGUUGAAAAGAACUUUGAAGAGAGAGUUAAAGAGUACGUGAAACCGUUCAGGGGUAAACCCGAGAAACCCAAAAGUUCGAACGGGGAGAUUCAUCGUCAGCGCCGCUGGCUUCGCGUCGGUCGGCGAUGCCGGCGCGGGUCCGCCGUGUCUCGCCACGGCUCCCGCGCUGGCACGCCGCUGUGCGCCGAUGUCCGGCGCGCGUCGUCGUGCACUUCUCCCCCAGUAGGACGUCGCGACCCGCUGGAUGCCGGUCUACGGCCCGGGACGGACGGCUGCAACGUCGCCGGUGAAACGGCACGCGGCAAGCCCCCGGUCGCCCGGCCGGCUGCCCGGCGGUACGGUGAACGGUACGAGGCCGCGCCCCUCGGGCGCGUCGAGCCCGUCGCAAGCGAGCGCCACGCGAGCCGGAGGUAAUUACGGACCCAGUGCCGUCCCCGGUCCUGGCCCGCUGUUGGCAGUACGGUGCACCUUCGACAGGCCUGCGAGGCGCGCGCGGUGUCCCGCUCGUCCCUCGUGGCGUGAGGGCCCGCGCGCGGCACAAUACCGGUCGGCGACGCUACCGCUUUGGGUACUCUCGGGACCCGUCUUGAAACACGGACCAAGGAGUCUAACAUGGACGCGAGUCAUUGGGACGAGCGAUACCCAAAGGCGCAAUGAAAGUGAAGGUCGGCCCUCGCCGGCCGACCGUGGGAGGACGGGCCGCGUCGCGAUGCGGCCCCGCACUCCCGGGGCGUCUCGCCCUCAUCGCGAGGAGAGGCGCACCCAGAGCGUACACGUUGGGACCCGAAAGAUGGUGAACUAUGCCUGGUCAGGACGAAGUCAGGGGAAACCCUGAUGGAGGUCCGUAGCGAUUCUGACGUGCAAAUCGAUCGUCGGAACUGGGUAUAGGGGCGAAAGACUAAUCGAACCAUC